rnacentral:rRNA from 1 species
ACCGCCAGCUAAGGUCCCAAAGUUAUGGUUAAGUGGGAAACGAUGUGGGAAGGCUUAGACAGCUAGGAGGUUGGCUUAGAAGCAGCCACCCUUUAAAGAAAGCGUAAUAGCUCACUAGUCGAGUCGGCCUGCGCGGAAGAUGUAACGGGGCUCAAACCAUACACCGAAGCUACGGGUAUCACGUAAGUGAUGCGGUAGAGGAGCGUUCUGUAAGCCUGUGAAGGUGAGUUGAGAAGCUUGCUGGAGGUAUCAGAAGUGCGAAUGCUGACAUGAGUAACGACAAUGGGUGUGAAAAACACCCACGCCGAAAGACCAAGGUUUCCUGCGCAACGUUAAUCGACGCAGGGUUAGUCGGUCCCUAAGGCGAGGCUGAAAAGCGUAGUCGAUGGAAAACAGGUUAAUAUUCCUGUACUUCUGGUUAUUGCGAUGGAGGGACGGAGAAGGCUAGGCCAGCUUGGCGUUGGUUGUCCAAGUUUAAGGUGGUAGGCUGAGAUCUUAGGUAAAUCCGGGAUCUUAAGGCCGAGAGCUGAUGACGAGUUGUCUUUUAGAUGACGAAGUGGUUGAUGCCAUGCUUCCAAGAAAAGCUUCUAAGCUUCAGGUAACCAGGAACCGUACCCCAAACCGACACAGGUGGUUGGGUAGAGAAUACCAAGGCGCUUGAGAGAACUCGGGUGAAGGAACUAGGCAAAAUGGCACCGUAACUUCGGGAGAAGGUGCGCCGGUGAGGGUGAAGGACUUGCUCCGUAAGCCCAUGCCGGUCGAAGAUACCAGGCCGCUGCGACUGUUUAUUAAAAACACAGCACUCUGCAAACACGAAAGUGGACGUAUAGGGUGUGACGCCUGCCCGGUGCCGGAAGGUUAAUUGAUGGGGUUA